CAGCUGCUGUGGGCGUUGUGGUAGUUUAGUAGGUUUUUCCAGUGAUCACCAGGAUGUAUGUGGUCUACCCACAUACUGGGUUUAUUUCCUUAGUAAUCUAGUCCAGAGAGUAGCUGAAUGUAGCAGUUUGACCAUCCACAUGAAAACAGUAGUCUGUCCAGAAUGAUAGGUGUGGGGUGAGAUAGGGAAGUUCUCCUGUGUAGCUGUGUUUUCCUGCACAACGUUAGACAGGGAGACCAGGAUUGCUGUGGGCAAACUGAGGUACAAUGCUCAUGAGUUACGCUACAUGUAAUGGACAGAAACCUGGUUAAUAAACCAUUCGGAAAUGAGGCUUGUGUUUCUGAUAUAAAAUGUAUUAUGCUUGAGUAAUCAUGUUGUACCAGUAUAGUUUCUGCAUGUACAAGGUAUACAUCUACUGUGUAUCAUAAGGUAUUAGUUUACAACAGCAUGUGUUACAUACUGUGAAUGUUCAUGUAAGUACAUACGUGUUCUAUGGUGAAAUGACAAAUACAAUUUACAGUGAGUUUGGUUAAUUUUGUGAUUAACAGAUGCAUAAGUAUAAUGGUGUCUAUUUACUGUACACAUACAUGUAAUGAGUACACAAUCUUCCUGAACACUUCUAUCUUGUGAAAGUGUCUUCAUUACGGAUGUAAUUCUGUCAUUGGAUAACUAUGUUAUAUUAAAAUAAGUGUUUGAUUGUCACAUGUUGAAAGUCCGGUCAUAAUGAAUGAUCUUUCAACAUAGAGUACUGCUUGAACUAAGGUUUACUUUUAGCUUUAUGGUCCCUGUAGUAACUGCAAUUGUCAUUAGCAUUAUUUUAUUCAUUUCAUUUUGAUCACUGCUGCAAGUUACAAUAAUUUCUUGUCAGAUUAUUGCAGUUUCUCCAGUUAGUGGUAUUGUUGUAAUCCAAAUAAGACCAGCAUUUUACCUGAAAGUGUAAAGGUCCAGAGACUGUAAAUGCCCAUUUCACUAGUAAGAGUAAGAGUAAAGGUCACUCAUGGCCAUAGUACUUUGUUAUUAGAGAUAGGCUGAGUUAUCAACUAAUGGUGUAACUGGUCCUUAACAUUGUGAUGUUUAGGCUGUUUUUCCUACUUGUUUUAGGUGUUUUCCUUAACCUGGACAAUAAAGGGCU